AAUCAACGCUGGCGGCGUGCCUAACACAUGCAAGUCGAACGGGAAAGUGGAGCAAUCCAUGAGUAAAGUGGCGCACGGGUGAGUAACACGUGACUAACCUACCCUUGAGUGGGGAUAACCUAGGGAAACCUGGGCUAAUACCGCAUAAUACCUACGGGUCAAAGGAGCAAUUCGCUUUAGGGAGGGGGUCGCGGCAGAUUAGUUAGUUGGCGGGGUAAUGGCCCACCAAGACGAUGAUCGUAUCCGGCCUGAGAGGGCGCACGGACACACUGGAACUGAAACACGGUCCAGACUCCUACGGGAGGCAGCAGGUGGGGAAUUUUGCGCAAGUGGGGGAAACCCUGACGCAGCAACGCCGCGUGGAGGAUGAAGACCCUUGGGUCGUAAACUCCUUUCGAUCGGGACGAUAAUGACGGUAACCGGAAGGAGAAGCCCCGGCUAACUUCGUGCCAGCAGCCGCGGUAAC
rnacentral:rRNA from 1 species